rnacentral:rRNA from 1 species
AUUGAACGCUGGCGGCAGGCCUAACACAUGCAAGUCGAGCGGAGCGGCGGACGGGUGAGUAAUGCCUAGGAAUCUGCCUGGUCGUGGGGGAUAACGUCCGGAAACGGGCGCUAAUACCGCAUACUAUCAGAUGAGACUAGGUCGGAUUAGCUCGUUUGUGGGGUAAAGGCCUCACAAGGAGACGAUCCGUAACUGGUCGGAGAGGAUGAUCAGUCACACUGGAACUGAGACACGGUCAAGACGCCUACGGUAGGCAGCAGUGGGGAAUAUGGGACAAUGGGCGAAAGCGUGAUCCAGUCAUGCCGCGGGUGUGAAGAAGGUCUGAGGAUUGUAAAGCACUUUAAGUUGGGAGGCGUUACCAACAGAAGAAGCACCGGCUAACUACGUGCCAGCAGCCGCGGUAAUAC